CGCCAUGCCCAAAUGCUCGGGCAA
rnacentral:sRNA from 1 species